rnacentral:rRNA from 1 species
GACGUAGGGCGCAAGCGUUAAUCGGAAUUACUGGGCGUAAAGCGUGCGCAGGCGGUUAUGUAAGACAGUUGUGAAAUCCCCGGGCUCAACCUGGGAACCGCAUCUGUGACUGCAUAGCUAGAGUACGGUAGAGGGGGAUGGAAUUCCGCGGUGUAGCAGUGAAAUGCGUAGAUAUGCGGAGGAACACCGAUGGCGAAGGCAAUCCCCUGGACCUGUACUGACGCUCAUGCACGAAAGCGUGGGGAGCAAACAGG